AUUCCAUGAUGAGGACAUUUACGAAGUAACUCCUUGAAUUGCUCCCAAGCCUUAUACAAAGACUUACCAUCCAAUUGUUGAAAAGUGGUGAUAUCGUUCCUCAACUU
rfam:Gossypium arboreum cultivar AKA8401 contig_78154_3, whole genome shotgun sequence.